rnacentral:rRNA from 1 species
UACAGUGGGUGCGAGCGUUAAUCGGAAUGACUGGGCGUAAAGGGUGCGUAGGAGGAUAUUUAAGUUGAGUUUUAAAGACCUGGGCUUAACCUGGGGAAGGGGCGCAAUACUGGAUAUCUAGAGUACAGUAGAGGGUAGUGGAAUUUCCGGAGUAGCGGUGAAAUGCGUAGAGAUCGGAAGGAACACCAGUGGCGAAGGCGGCUACCUGGACUGAUACUGACACUGAGGCACGAAAGCGUGGGGAGCAAACAUG